GACGAACGCUGGCGGCGUGCUUUACACAUGCAAGUCGAACGGUGAAGGUGGAGCUUGCUCCGCCGGAUCAGUGGCGAACGGGAGAGUAACACGUGGGCAACCUGCCCCUAACUUUGGGAUAACUACUCGAAAGAGUAGCUAAUACCGGAUAUGAAGUCUGUAGGCAUCUACGGACUUGGAAAGUUUUUCGGUGAGGGAGGGGCCCGCGGCCUAUCAGCUUGGUGGUGAGGUAGUGGCUCACCAAGGCGACGACGGGUAGCCGGCCUGAGAGGGCGACGGGCCACACUGGGACUGAGACACGGCCCAGACUCCUACGGGAGGCAGCAGUGGGGAAUAUUGCGCAAUGGGCGAAAGCCUGACGCAGCAACGCCGCGUGCGGGAUGAAGGCCUUCGGGUUGUAAACCGCUUUCAGCAGGGAAGAAGCGAAAGUGACGGUACCUGCAGAAGAAGCACCGGCUAACUACGUGCCAGCAGCCGCCGUAA
rnacentral:rRNA from 1 species